ensembl:lncRNA
UGUGUGUGUGUGUGUGUGUGUGUGUGUGUGUGUGUGUGUAACGGAGCAGCAGCCACAUCACACAGCGCUUCUCCGCUGCAUUCUCGCAGCUCUCCUUUCAUCUCAGCGCGGGGAAGUAACGGAGCGCGAGCCCGACGAGGGGACAUUAUGUCUCACCUCUGAGUCUUUUACUGCAACAUUAUUUUCUUCUCUUUCUCUUCUUCAUCGUCAUCUUUUUCUCCUUCUCUCCACCAUCUGCGGCUUGGAGCUGCUUCAACUCCACUGAGCUGGAGAUUUAUUAUUAUUAUUUGAAACUUUAUUUAUUAUUUAAAUUUUGUUUUGUUUAAAUUCUCACGCCCUCGGUCUCCGGGAGGAUCACGAGGCGGAAAAAAAGUUUAUAAAUGGCAGAGUGAGAAUAGUGUGUGCUAUUUAAAGAGGCACUGUGGU